GCCUUGGGUCAGUAUAGGCAAAGUGUAUUAUUCCCAACACUUUCCAAUCUUUUUUCACAUGGUGAAUGCCUAUAGUCAAAGUGGGAAUAAUACCCAUCCCUCGUCCGUGGACCAGGGUUUAGGAUUACCAGUCCACCCAGUGAUCUGGGGCCAGGUUAAAAAAAAACAGUGACAAAAACUCAUAUUUAAGAAAAAAAGCACAUCUGGGGAAACCCUGAAUGGGGGCCACAACAGUAUAGACAUGUCAUCCCUCACGUUGACACCACCUGUGACUUCUAAU